GUGGAUGGACUCUGAAUUUUAGGGUCUCCGACAUGGAAAUGGUGCAUUUCAGGUGUUGAAGUCAGCUGAGGCCUUUUUCCGUGCAUCUAAUCUAUCAUGUAACACCGAUUCUGUGUCAUUUUCUAUUGGUGUAAGAAUCAUAUUAAUCUUCCACAUGUUCGUUUUGUAUAUAACAUCAGGACAGAGACCCACACUCAUAUGUCAUUUUCUUGUGCUUAUGUUGCUUCCAUAUUGUCGCAAGUAAGAUAUGUUGCUGAUCCAGGCUCCAGUAGACCCAUUAUUCCUUCAAUGAUGUUCCUCUUCGAUUUGUUUGUGCAGCAUCACCAACUCAACUCCAUGCAUAUGCAGAUGCAGGGGGGAGGAGAGGACCACUACUUUGAUUCUCUGAUUUUUUUUGUGAGAAUUAAGAUGGGUGGCUUCUCGUGUAGAACUCAGUUUACAUAUAUUUUUUAUUUUAUAACUAGACCUAUGCUUUUAUCAGGUUUUCUUAUGAUGUGUUCAUAUUCUGUAGGAAGAGCAUCUUCAUAUCAGGAAGAAAAAUCGUGGGUGGAAGCUACUGACCAUGAGGAUUUACAUCAGUGACCUUCACUCGGGUUGUAAGUAGGAUAUAAUGCAGUAAAGACUUCUAUUCUUGCGAGUCUGGUUAGAUGCACUUGUGAAUGGCUGCUAAGAAAAAAGGCCUCGGAGUGUAGAGAAGGUUUCUGAGAUAUGCAUGCCAAAUAUCUAGCUACUUUGGCAUUUUUGUAGGUAGAUCUGUAGAUAUAAAUAAAGUUGGUUCUAUUGUGAUACUCUCAAUUUCUUCCAGUGUAUGAUAUUCUGAAGGUUGGGGAAUAUAUAUUUACACGAGAUAAAUUAUGAUAUACUCAUGUUUCUUGAACCAUUAAUGACCAUCACUACAUCAAGAUGGCUGGUGAGUAAAGCGUGUCAUGUGUUCCAUGAUGUGUUACCAUAUAUAUACUACUUGCAGGAAUUUUAUAUGUUGAUUAGCAUACUCUCACUCUAAUGUAUACAUUGCAUGUGUAUGUUCUAAGAGGAGCACAAUUUCAGAAGAGUAUUUUUUUAUUUGAAGUGGUUUGAUUUUCUAUCGAGACUUUAUAUCUAGCAUCAUUUUGG
rnacentral:lncRNA from 1 species